rnacentral:rRNA from 1 species
UACGAAGGGGGCUAGCGUUGUUCGGAUUUACUGGGCGUAAAGCGCACGUAGGCGGAUCGUUAAGUCAGGGGUGAAAUCCUGGGGCUCAACCCCAGAACUGCCUUUGAAACUGCAGUGCUAGAAUCUUGGAGAGGUCAGUGGAAUUCCGAGUGUAGAGGUGAAAUUCGUAGAUAUUCGGAAGAACACCAGUGGCGAAGGCGACUGACUGGACAAGUAUUGACGCUGAGGUGCGAAAGCGUGGGGAGCAAACAGG